UUCUUGGAACGGGAAGGUUGACAGAGAGAGUUGUAACUGUGAUAAUGUGCAGGGACACGGCUGGGCAGGAGAGGUUCCGCAGCCUGAUUCCAAGCUACACCAGAGACUCCUCUGUGGCGGUGAUCGUUUACGAUGUGACUGGUAAGUUGUCAGUGUCCAAAAAAAUUGCCCACUAUCGUACAAUAAGCUUUGCUUUCUGCACUAGAAAGGAUAUGUGAGCCUUUUGCCCUUGAUUCCUCUUAGAAAUGUUGUAUUAUGGCCAAUUUCACAACUGGUGCCUUUCAGCUGAGAAAAUUUGAUAAUUGGUGCUUACUUCCCAAAGAUCACCCAUACAAUCUGGCAUGCUGAUGAUUUGGGCUUUUCUUUUAGAACACUAGUACGUUCAAUUGUUUGUUUCAAAUGAGGCUAUUUUUUCUUUUUUACAGCGAGAGGUGAACACUUCGGCAAAAGCAUAAUUUUAUCCUUGUUCAAUGUUCUGUACAAUGUCGGCCACAUGUCAUCCUUGUUUGCAGACAGGCAGUCCUUUCUGAAUACAUCAAAGUGGAUCGAGGAAGUAAAUACACCAAAACCGACCUCGUCUACAAGAGGUUUUGUGAAUUAACGGAUCAUUCUUAUAUCAUCAAUUCGUCAUUCCAUUUCCAGUGCCCUACGGGUUGACGGUGAGGUGAUGCAGUGCAUGCUGGGGUGAGGGAGAAACCGACGGCUUGAUGUAGCUCACAGCGACGUCGUGGAUGAAGUCACCGGCGUGAUCCUGCAGUAGAGGCAUAGGUCUUCCCGUGAGCACCAGCGUCAAGCCGAUCGGGCAAGUGCCAGCUGAGGAAGGAGAAGCCAAGGCGCAGGAGCAUGGUGCCAUGUUCAUAGAAACCAGCGCAAAAGCUGGAUUCAACAUCAAGCCGCUGUUCUGCAAGAUCGCUGCAUCCCUUCCUGGAAUGGA